UGUCAUAAUGGCGGCCGACGACAGCCACGCAUUGACUUUGAACGCAGUAGUAGGACGAGGAGGAGGAGGCAUAGCGCACACAUCCACCGCUGCAACCGCCGUGGUAUGUGUGCGCUGCCGUUGUCGCCGUCACCUCGCCCCACCACACGCUCCCUCUCCUUCGCGCCAGCCACGCGAAAAAACCAAUAACCGCCGCCCUCGGCUCGGACGAGACGACCCGCUGAACUUAAGCAUAUCGCUAAGCGGAGGAAAAGAAACCAACCGGGAUUCCCUUAGUAACGGCGAGUGAACCGGGAGAAGCCCAACGCCGAAUCCCGUCGCAAGUAAAAGGCUUCGGGACGUGUGGCGCAUGGGUCGAAGGCAGCCGUUCGUUUCGUCUCGCGUAGUUCGGAGUUCCCUCGAUCGGGGCCGCCCGUGGCGGGUGCCAGGCCCAUUCGGUGCGGACGGCGAGCGACGGCCUUCGAUCCGAGAGUCGGGUUGCUUGGGAACGCAGCCCAAAUCGGGUGGUAAGCUCCAUCCAAGGCUAAAUACCGGGACGAGUCCGAUAGUCGACAAGUACCGUGAGGGAAAGUUGAAAAGAACUUUGGAGAGAGAGUUCAAGAGAACGUGAAACCGCCCAGGGGUAAACGGGUGGGACCGCUCACCGCGAUCGCGGGGGGACUCAGUCCGGUGCUGCCUAGGCUCGAGCCCAAACUCGAUGUGUUCUUUAACAUAGGCCGUUGCGGACGUCGUCGUGUUCGCGGGGAUUCGUCCUCGCGGACCAGCUUUUGUGCCCGCGUCGCCGACGAAGGAGACGGGCCGCGUCUAUAGCGGGAAGGGAAACGUGGUGACACGGCAACGUGUCGCCGCUUCUUCUUUCCUCCUGCUCCCUUGGCGCGCGCUGCCGACAUUAUCCCGUCACCUUCUUCUCGCUCGGCAAUCAAUGGCGCGGGCGCUUCGGCGCGACGUAACCUAACCACCGCACGGUCGUCACCGGACGCACUUCCCCUCCGGUCCGUCGUCGCGACCCGUUCCCGGCGUGCAGGUCGACACGCGGGUAUUCCGUAGACGGCAGGCGCUUCAGAAAACUCUCGUCACCGCUCCGGCGGUGUCGGGGGCCACCAGCCGUCGGGCCCGCGAACGUAACUGCCCCUUUCUGCUGGGGACGGAGGAAAACUGACGCGAUCCGUUACACGUGGCGAGCCGGUUCGCCUUUAAUUCCGUUGGACGUCUCGCGCGCGGGGGGCAACCCUCGCUUCGGCGCCCCACCGUCUUGGGCGUGCGCGAGACAUGAGACGGGAGAGAACCGGCGCGGCCUCGCCGUCACGCACCUCGCCGGUGCGCGGGUUUUGCCGGGGGAAACUCCGUCAUGCCCGCGCCGUCCGGCGUGGUCGCUCGGCGACGUGCUUCACGGCCGCCCGCCACUUCGGGUCAGCGACGUGCAUCGGCAACCCACCCGACCCGUCUUGAAACACGGACCGAGGAGUCCUGGCCGUUCGCGAGUCGUAGGGGCCCCCUCUGACUAACCCCGAAGGCGUAGCGAAAGCGAGAGAGCGUGUUGGAGGGCGUCGACCGGGAGAGGUGUCGUGGCGAAGUCGUGCAGGGGUCGUCGGGGGAAAAGCGGCUUCGGUCGUUUCUUUUCUCGCCUCACCUGCCCUCCGAGCCGUGCCCGAUCCCGCCGGCGCGGUGUCUUGUCUUCUGCGUCGCCCUCUCGUCGYGCAUGUUGCCCGGYAACGGGCGACGACGCGCGGCGACGACGUGCGYGGUUGUUUCCCUCCUGCCCGAGAGGGCAUCGGUUCCAUGGGAAUUGCGGGGCAUCAGCUUCUAUCCUCCUACCGCCCAUCGGUGAGAUCCCGCGGCUUGAACUAGUCCUAUUUUGUCGUCGAGUUUAGGCACUGCACGCGGGCGCAUCACCCCCGGGUCGGCGGUGAAAACCAUUCCGAGUACGACUCGGCCGACUCUGGCGUAGCGAGCGGCCAGGGACCCGAAAGAUGGCGAUCCACGCCCGGUCGGGAUGAAGCCAGAGGAAACUCUGGUGGAAGUCCGAAGCGCCUCUGACGUGCAAAUCGAUCGUCGGAACCGGGUGUAGGGGCGAAAGACCAAUCGAGCCGUCUAGUAGCUGGUUCCCUCCGAAGUUUCCCUCAGGAUAGCUGGCGCUCGAUCGUCGCAAUUCCAUCCGGUAAAGCGAACGAUUGGAGGCCCCGGGGCCGUUCACGGCCUCGACCUACUCUCGAACUCGGAACGGGUGGAACGGGCCGACUCUCCCGAACAACGGAGCCGACCCACAUUUUCCUGUCGCGCAGCUCGCGCGACAACGAAAACGAAUGCGAGUGCCAAGUGGGCCACUUUUGGUAAGCAGAACUGGCGCUGUGGGAUGAACCAAACGUCCGGCUAAGGUGCCUAACGCGACGCCCAUGAGAUCCCCGAAAGGGUGUCGGUCGAUAUAGACAGCAGGACGGUGGCCACGGAAGUCGGAAUCCGCUAAGGAGUGUGUAACAACUCACCUGCCGAAUCGACCGGC
rnacentral:rRNA from 1 species